AUGUAGAAACUUAAGGCUGCAAUGAAGAAAUCUGUCUUUGAAAUGGAUUAACUCAACAAAAAUCCAGUGGAAGGCUUUUCAGCAGGUUUAAUAGAUGACAAUGAUCUCUAUCGAUGGGAAGUCCUUAUUAUUGGUCCUCCAGACACACUUUAUGAAGGUGGUGUUUUUAAGGCUCAUCUCACUUUCCCAAAAGAUUAUCCCCUCCGGCCUCCUAAAAUGAAAUUCAUUACAGAAAUCUGGCACCCAAAUGUUGAUAAAAAUGGUGAUGUUUGCAUUUCUAUUCUUCAUGAGCCUGGGGAGGAUAAAUAUGGUUAUGAAAAGCCAGAGGAACGCUGGCUUCCUAUCCACACUGUGGAAACCAUCAUGAUUAGUGUCAUUUCUAUGCUGGCAGACCCUAAUGGAGAUUCACCUGCUAAUGUCGAUGCUGUGAAAGAAUGGAGGGAAGACAGAAACGGAGAAUUUAAAAGGAAAGUUGCACGCUGUGUAAGAAAAAGCCAAGAGACUGCUUUUGAGUGACAUUUAUUCAGCAGCUAGUAAUUUCACUUAUUUCAGGGUCUUCAAUUGAGAAACAUGGCACUGUUUUUCCUGCACUCUACCCACCUAUAUUGCUGGACUUCUGUUGUAACAAGUUGGCAAAACACUGGCUGGAACUGGGCUGCAAUAAAACAUGCCAGUUAUCAAUGCUGACAAGAGCCUAACAAGUGCCAACUUACAGAUGAUUACGCAUUUUGAAUUCUAAUGAACUGUUUUAACCUUCAGGAAGAAUUGUAAAGACGUGUACAUAGCACAACAUGAUCCGGAUAAUAUAUAUACUGUUCAUGCACAUCCACAAAUACACCUUGUACCAAAUAAUGCUUUCUUGUAGUAGAAUAAGAAUCGUGUAAAUUCUAAAAAGAUUUUAGCAGGUUUUCUUUCCCUAUUCAUUGUUUCUUAUCAAUUUAAAAAGACUCCUUAAAGCAUGUCAGAUGAAAAGCAAUUAGGAUUAAAAGUUUCCAUUUAAUUUCCUUUAAACCAUUGAGGCUUCAUUAAACCCUUGUCACUUACUAAACUUUUGUAUCUUCUUUGUUUUGACAGUCCCCUCUGCUUUUAUCUCUUCUAUCUGCCAGAAAGUUCUCAGAUGAUUUAGUUCAAAUACUGAAAUACUUAAUAAGCAAUUACUUGAUUUUUAAUGAUGACUUCAGAGGAGUGGUCAUCACUAGGUGCUUUGUCUUUUUGUAUUCUAGUUGCACCCAUCUCUUGGAUUGGAUGUAGCAAUAACAUUUUCUGGCUGUUGAGAGCUCUUGAACCUAGACAUUAUCCCAAGAACUUAAAAAAAAAAAAAGUUGGUUCUAAAUUCAACUUACUGAAAUUUACCCCAAAUAAUACAAAAUUCUGAUUUGGUUUUAUUUUUGCCCUUCAGUUGACUUAAUGUUAAGUUUGGAUAAAUAAAGCAUGCACAACUA